UACAGAGGUCCCAAGCGUUGUUCGGAUUCACUGGGCGUAAAGGGUGCGUAGGCGGUUGGGUAAGUCUGAUGUGAAAUCUCACAGCUUAACUGUGAAACUGCAUUGGAUACUAUCCGGCUAGAGGAAUGGAGGGGAGACUGGAAUACUUGGUGUAGCAGUGAAAUGCGUAGAUAUGUGGAGGAACACCAGUGGCGAAGGCGACUCUCUGGUCUGUAACUGACGCUGAGGCGCGAAAGCGUGGGGAGCAAACAGG
rnacentral:rRNA from 1 species